rnacentral:rRNA from 1 species
CCUACGGGUGGCAGCAGUGGGGAAUAUUGCACAAUGGGGGAAACCCUGAUGCAGCGACGCCGCGUGAGUGAAGAAGUAUUUCGGUACGUAAAGCUCUAUCAGCAGGGAAGAAAAUGACGGUACCUGACUAAGAAGCCCCGGCUAACUACGUGCCAGCAGCCGCGGUAAUACGUAGGGGGCAAGCGUUAUCCGGAUUUACUGGGUGUAAAGGGAGCGUAGACGGCAGCUCAAGUCUGGAGUGAAAUCCCAUGGCUUAACCAUGGAACUGCUUUGGAAACUGUGCAGCUAGAGUGCAGGAGAGGUAAGCGGAAUUCCUAGUGUAGCGGUGAAAUGCGUAGAUAUUAGGAGGAACACCAGUGGCGAAGGCGGCUUACUGGACUGUAACUGACGUUGAGGCUCGAAAGCGUGGGGAGCAAACAGGAUUAGAUACCCCAGUAGUC